CGAACGGGUGAGUAAUGUCUGGGAAACUGCCUGAUGGAGGGGGAUAACUACUGGAAACGGUAGCUAAUACCGCAUAACGUCGCAAGACCAAAGAGGGGGACCUUCGGGCCUCUUGCCAUCGGAUGUGCCCAGAUGGGAUUAGCUAGUAGGUGGGGUAACGGCUCACCUAGGCGACGAUCCCUAGCUGGUCUGAGAGGAUGACCAGCCACACUGGAACUGAGACACGGUCCAG
rnacentral:rRNA from 1 species